ACACAAAACCAAACGAACAAAACCAUUAAAAUAAAUAAUUAAGGGAAAAAGAAGUAAUAAAGCUAUGUUUUGUUUUUAGGGUAAGCUUGUCCGUAGCUGAGGGAGAAGCCCGGCGCCUCCUGCCCGCAUGGAAAGGGUGCCGAGAGGAAUCUCCCACCUGGGCACCCCGCGGGCCGGCGCUGUCCACGCCCCCGCCUCGGCCGAACUGCGGGACCACCCCAUCAAAAAGCGCUUCCUGCCAAAACCGCCUCUCCUGGGAGCGGCUGGAAGAAGUAUGAAGGGACUAUGUGGCAAGGCAGAGGUAGGAAGAGAGAAGAGGGACACAGAAGGAGGAAACAGACUUCUUCUCCAAAUUUGCCAAGUCCACACCUGCGGGAUCUCGGAGAACUGGUAAGUUCUCAUAUUUUGAACUUCUUCCCUCCUUGGCAGUGGCUUUAAAAAGGAUUAAGGGAGAGAACAGUUGCAGAAAAAGCCCUCAAACCUCAAAAUACUACAUGUUUGGAAGGUCAGAGAGGCUGCCUUCUCCAGAUCUGCAGGGGCUCCAGGGUUCAAAUCUGAAUCCCGAGCUGCUGUGAUAUCCUGCCCAGCACCACGUCUUCUCAUUCAGGAAUACAACUUCCAUGGGCUAGUUGUCUGUUUUCCCUCAGCAUUAGCUUGGCUGGGUAAGUACAACUGAGCAGCAUUCGUGUAAGCCAUACACAUCUUACCAGUGAUCUCCUAACAGGGGAAUAUUGUCAGAGUGAAAAUUUACCUGAUUUUCUGCUAAACACCACUGCAAGUCUCAGUUUUCUUUCUUUUUCUGGGUGUGUUGUGUCCAACUGUGAUGUCUUAUAGUAAGCUUUUUGAGGGAAGAGCUGUCUUUAUAGCUGGUGUCUUUAUAGCAUCUUGUGUAGUGGAUAAGAUGCCCCCAUCUGAAGAAAGAUAGACUGAUCUUUGAAAUCCCUGUUUUGAAGUAGAUGAUGAUUAACAGAGAAAAAAAAAAGGGUGAGGGUGCAUAUACACUGUGGUGGGAAGGGACACUUCUGUUGUCUCUGCACUUUCCUUGUUUCAGGAAAUACCUGUGGCUCCUUGGUAAGGUGCACAUAGCAUAAAAAUAUAUUAAUGUUUAAAGGUAUACUGCAAGGGGAAGAAAAGGCAAAAAUGUCAAGCUAGAAACCUAUUUAAGAAGGAAAUAUAUCUUUGGGGGAGAGCUUUAAACUGUGGUCUUUUCACAGGGGAAAAAAAUAGAAAUACUACCAACAAAGUAAUGAUAAAAGUAGAGAAAACAGAAAAUAAUUCUACAAUGGUACUUGUAUAUUUCAUAACGAUUGAGUCACCUUUCCUUCAUGCUUUGGGCCUGAUCUUGAAGAACAUAUUAACCAAAUCUCUCUGAGGACCAUAGUGGUACCACAUAU
rnacentral:lncRNA from 1 species